CGAAUGCUGACAUAAGUAACGAUAAAGCGGGUGAAAAGCCCGCUCGCCGGAAGACCAAGGGUUCCUGUCCAACGUUAAUCGGGGCAGGGUGAGUCGACCCCUAAGGCGAGGCCGAAAGGCGUAGUCGAUGGGAAACAGGUUAAUAUUCCUGUACUUGGUGUUACUGCGAAGGGGGGACGGAGAAGGCUAUGUUGGCCGGGCGACGGUUGUCCCGGUUUAAGCGUGUAGGCUGGUUUUCCAGGCAAAUCCGGAAAAUCAAGGCUGAGGCGUGAUGACGAGGCACUACGGUGCUGAAGCAACAAAUGCCCUGCUUCCAGGAAAAGCCUCUAAGCAUCAGGUAACAUUAAAUCGUACCCCAAACCGACACAGGUGGUCAGGUAGAGAAUACCAAGGCGCUUGAGAGAACUCGGGUGAAGGAACUAGGCAAAAUGGUGCCGUAACUUCGGGAGAAGGCACGCUGAUAUGUAGGUGAAGUCCCUCGCGGAUGGAGCUGAAAUCAGUCGAAGAUACCAGCUGGCUGCAACUGUUUAUUAAAAACACAGCACUGUGCAAACACGAAAGUGGACGUAUACGGUGUGACGCCUGCCCGGUGCCGGAAGGUUAAUUGAUGGGGUUAGCGGUAACGCGAAGCUCUUGAUCGAAGCCCCGGUAAACGGCGGCCGUAACUAUAACGGUCCUAAGGUAGCGAAAUUCCUUGUCGGGUAAGUUCCGACCUGCACGAAUGGCGUAAUGAUGGCCAGGCUGUCUCCACCCGAGACUCAGUGAAAUUGAACUCGCUGUGAAGAUGCAGUGUACCCGCGGCAAGACGGAAAGACCCCGUGAACCUUUACUAUAGCUUGACACUGAACAUUGAGCCUUGAUGUGUAGGAUAGGUGGGAGGCUUUGAAGUGUGGACGCCAGUCUGCAUGGAGCCGACCUUGAAAUACCACCCUUUAAUGUUUGAUGUUCUAACGUUGACCCGUGAUCCGGGUUACGGACAGUGUCUGGUGGGUAGUUUGACUGGGGCGGUCUCCUCCUAAAGAGUAACGGAGGAGCACGAAGGUUGGCUAAUCCUGGUCGGACAUCAGGAGGUUAGUGCAAUGGCAUAAGCCAGCUUGACUGCGAGCGUGACGGCGCGAGCAGGUGCGAAAGCAGGUCAUAGUGAUCCGGUGGUUCUGAAUGGAAGGGCCAUCGCUCAACGGAUAAAAGGUACUCCGGGGAUAACAGGCUGAUACCGCCCAAGAGUUCAUAUCGACGGCGGUGUUUGGCACCUCGAUGUCGGCUCAUCACAUCCUGGGGCUGAAGUAGGUCCCAAGGGUAUGGCUGUUCGCCAUUUAAAGUGGUACGCGAGCUGGGUUUAGAACGUCGUGAGACAGUUCGGUCCCUAUCUGCCGUGGGCGCUGGAGAACUGAGGGGGGCUGCUCCUAGUACGAGAGGACCGGAGUGGACGCAUCACUGGUGUUCGGGUUGUCAUGCCAAUGGCACUGCCCGGUAGCUAAAUGCGGAAGAGAUAAGUGCUGAAAGCAUCUAAGCACGAAACUUGCC
rnacentral:rRNA from 1 species